GGAUGUGAUGAUAGUAUUGUCGCCCCAGUCUUACUUUGCACCAAAGGUGUAACAUGGUGACUGACUUCUAAUCUGAUCU